GGUUGUCGUCAGCUCGUGUCGUGAGAUGUUGGGUUAAGUCCCGCAACGAGCGCAACCCCUAUUGUUAGUUGCCAUCAUCCAGUUGGGCACUCUAGCGAGACUGCCGGUAAUAAACCGGAGGAAGUGGGAUGACGUCAAAUCAUCAUGCCCCUUAUGACCUGGGCUACACACGUGCUACAAUGGUUGGUACAACGAGUUGCGAGUCGGUGACGGCGAGCUAAAUCUCUUAAAGCCAAUCUCAGUUCGGAUUGUAGGCUGCAACUCGCCUACAUGAAGUCGGAAUCGCUAGUAAUCGCGGAUCAGCACGCCGCGGUGAAUACGUUCCCGGGCCUU
rnacentral:rRNA from 1 species